AUUGGGUGGAAAGUGGCGAACGGGUGAGUAACACGUUGGUGACCUGCCCUGAGGAGGGGAAUAACCGUGGGAAACCACGGCUAAUACCCCGGAUGUCUAAGCUGUUAGAGGGCUUAGACUAAAGCCCCUGCAAGGGGUGCGCCUCGGGAGGGGCCUGCGGGCUAUCAGCUUGUUGGUGGGGUAAUGGCUUACCAAGGCGAAGACGGCUAGGGGGCGUGAGAGCGCGACCCCCCACAAUGGAACUGAGACACGGUCCAUACUCCUACGGGAGGCAGCAGUGAGGAAUAUUGCGCAAUGGGGGCAACCCUGACGCAGCAACGCCGCGUGGACGAUGAAGGCCUUCGGGUUGUAAAGUCCUUUUCUGAAGGAAGAUAGUGACGGUACUUCAGGAAUAAGUCCCGGCUAACUACGUGCCAGCAGCCGCGGUAAAACGUAGGGGGCGAGCGUUAUCCGGAUUUACUGGGCGUAAAGCGCACGUAGGCGGCAUCGUAAGUUGGACGUGAAAGCUCCCGGCUCAACUGGGAGAGGUCGUUCAAAACUGUGGUGCUUGAGGUUGAUAGAGGAGAGUGGAAUUCCCGGUGUAGUGGUGGAAUGCGUAGAUAUCGGGAGGAACACCAGUGGCGAAGGCGGCUCUCUAGGUCACACCUGACGCUGAGGUCCAAAAGCGUGGGGACCGAACGGAAUAAGAUACCCCGGUAGUCCACGCGGUAACCGAUGAAUACAAGGUGUGGAAGAUAAUUAACCCCUUCGGGCCCGUAGCUACCGCGUAAAGUAUCCCGCCCGGGGACCUCCGCCAGCAAGGUUAAAACUCCAAAGGAAAUUGACGGGGGGCCCGCACAAGCAGCGGAGCGUGUGGUAUAAUUCGAUGAUACGCGAAGAACCUUACCGGGGCUUGACAUGGUGGUAGUAGUGAAGCGAAAGCGGAACGACCAUUCGGGGAGCCAUCACAGGUGCUGCAUGGCUGUCGUCAGCUCGUGUCGUGAGAUGUUGGGU
rnacentral:rRNA from 1 species